CAUAACCUCGGGAAACUGGGGAUAAUACUGGAUAACGCAUAUGUGCUGGAAUGCUUUAUGCGUAAAACGGAUUCGUCCGCCCAAGGAUGGGUCUGCGGCCUAUCAGGUAGUAGUGGGUGUAAUGUACCUACUAGCCAACAACGGGUACGGGUUGUGAGAGCAAGAGCCCGGAGAUGGAUUCUGAGACAUGAAUCCAGGCCCUACGGGGCGCAGCAGGCGCGAAAACUUUACAAUGCGGGAAACCGUGAUAAGGGAACACCGAGUGCCAGCAUCAUAUGCUGGCUGUCCAGAUGUGUAAACUACAUCUGUUAGCAAGGGCCGGGCAAGACCGGUGCCAGCCGCCGCGGUAACACCGGCGGCCCGAGUGGUGACCGUUAUUAUUGGGUCUAAAGGGUCCGUAGCCGGUUUGGUCAGUCCUCCGGGAAAUCUGAUAGCUUAACUGUUAGGCUUUCGGGGGAUACUGCCAGGCUUGGAACCGGGAGAGGUAAGAGGUACUACAGGGGUAGGAGUGAAAUCUUGUAAUCCCUGUGAGACCACCUGUGGCGAAGGCGUCUUACCAGAACGGGUUCGACGGUGAGGGACGAAAGCUGGGGGCACGAACCGGAUUAGAUACCCGGGUAGUCCCAGCCGUAAACUAUGCUCGCUAGGUGUCAGGCAUGGCGCGACCGUGUCUGGUGCCGCAGGAAGCCGUGAAGCGAGCCACCUGGGAAGUACGGCCGCAAGGCUGAAACUUAAAGGAUUGGCGGGGGAGCACAACAACGGGUGGAGCCUGCGGUUUAAUUGGACUCAACGCCGGACAACUCACCGGGAACGACAGCAAUAUGUAGGCCAGCUGAAGACCUUGCCUGAAUCGCUGAGAGGAGGUGCAU
rnacentral:rRNA from 1 species